rnacentral:rRNA from 1 species
GGAAUUCAGUAGUGAUUCAGGCCUAACACAUGCAAGUCGAGCGGUAGAGAGAAGCUUGCUUCUCUUGAAAAAAGCGGACGGGUGAGUAAUGCCUAGGAAUCUGCCUGGUAGUGGGGGAUAACGUUCGGAAACGGACGCUAAUACCGCAUACGUCCUACGGGAGAAAGCAGGGGACCUUCGGGCCUUGCGCUAUCAGAUGAGCCUAGGUCGGAUUAGCUAGUUGGUGAGGUAAUGGCUCACCAAGGCGACGAUCCGUAACUGGUCUGAGAGGAUGAUCAGUCACACUGGAAGGGAGACACGGUCCAGACUCCUACGGGAGGCAGCAGUGGGGAAUAUUGGACAAUGGGCGAAA